rnacentral:rRNA from 1 species
AACGAACGCUGGCGGCAUGCCUAACACAUGCAAGUCGAACGAGACCUUCGGGUCUAGUGGCGCACGGGUGCGUAACGCGUGGGAACCUGCCCUUAGGUUCGGAAUAACUCCCCGAAAGGGGUGCUAAUACCGGAUAAUGUCUUCGGACCAAAGAUUUAUCGCCUUUGGAUGGGCCCGCGUUGGAUUAGCUAGUUGGUAGGGUAAAAGCCUACCAAGGCGAGGAUCCAUAGCUGGUGGGAGAGAAUGAUCAGCCACACUGGGACUGAGACACGGCCCAGACGCGAGGGGGGGGAGGAGGUGGGGAUAUUGGACAAUGGGCGAAAGCCUGAUCCAGCAAUGCCGCGUAAGUGAUGAAGGCCUUAGGGUUGUAAAGCUCUUUUACCCGAGAUGAUAAUGACAGUACCGGGAGAAUAAGCUCCGGCUAACUCCGCG